AAGUCGUAACAAGGUAUCCGUAGGUGAACCUGCGGAUGGAUCAUUAACGAUACGUGUUGUUCGGCAACGAACACGCGUUCAUACCAACCAAACCUGUGCGAGGAGAUUUCUACUAGCGUUGACGGACUUUUUUGAAGUUCGACGGCGUUAUGGAAUUCUCCGUUUCUUUCUAUUUUCCUUUCUUAUACAAACCUUAAAACCCUAACUUCUUCGUUUUCGAAGGACUGAAACACACUUUUUCAAAUCGAAAGUAAGAAUGCCAUACUGUUGACGUUUGUCUCUAUUAGACGGUUUCGCAAGAAACCUGUUGAACGGACGGUCACACCUUGGUCUUCUUCGAUUAGAUAUGAAAUCCUGUACAACUCUUAGCAACGGAUAUCUUGGUUCUC
rnacentral:misc_RNA from 1 species